AGCGAACGCUGGCGGCAGGCCUAACACAUGCAAGUCGAGCGCCCAGCAAUGGGAGCGGCAGACGGGAUAGUAACACGUGGGAACGUACCUUUCAGUUCGGAACAACCCAGGGAAACUUGGGCUAAUACCGAAUACGUCCGUAAGGAGAAAGAUUUAUCGCUGAAAGAUCGGCCCGCGUCUGAUUAGCUAGUUGGUGAGGUAAUGGCUCACCAAGGCGACGACGGGUAGCUGGCUGAGAGGAUGAUCAGCCACACUGGAACUGAAACACGGUCCAGACUCCUACGGGAGGCAGCAGUGGGGAAUCUUGCGCAAUGGACGAAAGUCUGACGCAGCCACGCCGCGUGAGUGAAGAAGGCCUGG
rnacentral:rRNA from 1 species